UGUUUGAACUUCUUAUCAAAUAGUAAAAAUUAAAUUUCAUUAUUUUGAAAUUUCAAUGAUACAAAACGUCUUUUUCAAGACCUCUGUUAUUUAAUUUUAAAAUAAUAUACCAUAUAAAAAAAGACAAGCAGUUGAAUAUAACUAUUGUUGAGAAACCUUUAGAGGUUAUAGUUUUUUUAAAUAUUAGUCCAGAAGAAGGGCAUAUUCAUACCUGAAACGUCGACUGGUAGGUACUAACUAAGAAUUAGAAAAUAAAAACAGUAGAGACCUUUAGCCUACGAAAUAGUUAAAUUUAAAAUAAGACUUAUUAUCCUGAAUCUUAUCCAACUUACCGAAGUCAAUAUCAAACCCUUGCUUCUGUUGUUUUCGAUUUCAUCAAUUGACUUCUUGAUGGAUGUGAGCAGAUCCAGAUUCAAUCCAUUGACUGGAGGUCUGUUUAGGGUUAGGGUGGCUAUGCCAGUCUUAUCAUUGACCUCUACAGUUGUUAAUGGUGCCGAAGAAGACAUCUGCCUUACUCCAGGUAAGACAGACUUCAAGGUCUUUGCGUAGUUCCAUGCAAUGCUCCUCAUUCUGACUUAACUGUAAAUAAAUCAAAUCUAUUAAUCAACAAGUUGAACUUUGGACGAGGAAGAUUAGGAUGAUUUUUUGUGAGGAAGAUGUUGCUGAUUGAUCUUUUUUGCUGUCGUGAUAAGAUUAUGCACUUACUUGGCUAUGGUGUAUAGAUAAUAUAUUUGUUGUUAAUAAAAUAAAUAUUUAAA